rnacentral:rRNA from 1 species
AAUGCGUAGAUAUCGGGAGGAACACCAGUGGCGAAGGCGGCUUUCUGGCCCGUUCUUGACGCUGAGGCGCGAAAGCUAGGGUAGCAAACGGGAUUAGAUACCCCGGUAGUCCUAGCCGUAAACGAUGGACAUUAGGUGUUGGUGGUAUCAACCCCGCCAGUGCCGAAGCUAACGCAUUAAGUGUCCCGCCUGGGGAGUACGGCCGCAAGGCUAAAACUCAAAGGAAUUGACGGGGACCCGCACAAGCGGUGGAUGAUGUGGUUUAAUUCGAUGCAACGCGAAAAACCUUACCUACCCUUGACAUGCCAGGAAUCCUGCAGAGAUGUGGGAGUGCUCGAAAGAGAACCUGGACACAGGUGCUGCAUGGCCGUCGUCAGCUCGUGUCGUGAGAUGUUGGGUUAAGUCCCGCAACGAGCGCAACCCUUGUCAUUAGUUGCUACGAAAGGGCACUCUAAUGAGACUGCCGGUGACAAACCGGAGGAAGGUGGGGAUGACGUCAGGUCCUCAUGGCCCUUAUGGGUAGGGCUACACACGUCAUACAAUGGCCGGUACAGAGGGCUGCCAACCUGCAAAGGGGAGCCAAUCUCAAAAACCACCUCGUAGUCCGGAUUGGAGUCUGCAACUCGACUCCAUGAAGUUGGAAUCGCUAGUAAUCGCGAAUCAGAAUGUCGCGGUGAAUACGUUCCCGGGCCUUGUACACACCGCCCGUCACGCCAUGGGAGUGGGUUGUACCAGAAGUAGGUAGCUUAACCGCAAGGGAAGCGCUACCACG